rnacentral:pre_miRNA from 12 species
UUGACUUAGCUGGGUAGUGGGGAACCCUUCCAUGAGGAGUAGAACACUCCUUAUGCAAGAUUCCCUUCUACCUGACUGGGUUGG